rnacentral:misc_RNA from 1 species
UGCAAUGCCAAAUGUUAAUGGAAGAUUAACUGAUCAUGAAUUUAAGCCAAAACACAGACAGCAUUCGACAUAUAUGUCUUCGAGGGACCUGGCCGUUUCUGAGCCUAUCAUUCAGCAACACUAAAGGGACUCUUAAUUGCUCAAAUGAUAGCUAGCUGGGGAAAGAAAUAUCUUGCAACAUUGGAUAAAAAAACUAUGGACAACUGAAAGGGAAAUAGCAGAAGGAAGCAAUCAAGCAAUAAUAUUGCCGGUUCCAUGUGGUGGGUAAAAUGGAUCAGUCACGUCGCUUUUGAGAUGAAAUAUGAAUAUAAUAUGUAUAAUUUGUUCAUAGACACAAACUGAAAGGCUUGUGCUCUUUUAUAUGAUUUGAGAGUACACACCAAUGAUAAAUGGCAACUUAGUUGAUCCUCAAAGGAAUGUAAUAUCAAGAACAAAGGAAAUGGAAUCGGACAAAGAGCAGCUUCCUUGACCCUGUUAGUAUCUUCCCACAGCUUUAUUGAACCGCAACAAAACAAGAAGCAAGAAGCCGCUUAAUUGGCCAGCCGUGGCAUGCAACAACCACCAGUUCGUAGUAGAGAUGCAGUUCAAGAAAGCUGUGGAAGAAUACGAAGAGGGUCAUUCAUAUAA